GAGCCAGCGCGCCCCCUGCUGGAGCUUGAGCGGCCCGGUGCGUUGGUCAGCAGUAGCCGGUCACAGGCGCCCCCUCCCCGCAGGGCAGCCUCGCGGCUGUCACCGCGGCUACCGCUGCUCCUGCGAGGCUGGAGCGGAACUGCGAGGCCGAGGGAGGGGACCCUGCGAAAGGGCCGCGCGCCGGCCGCCGCCGCCCCGGCGCUGAGGGUCGGUGCCAGAGAGUCAUGCCCGUUAGUCCUGGGUCCCUCCUGAUGUCCUGCAAGGCCUCAGCUCCUCCACACUCCAGGGCCGCCCCGCUGCACCCCAAAGGCUUGCUGGCCCCGCCCCGGAGCCCUCUGUGCAGCACUGCCCCUGCCUAGCCAGUUCUCCUGCAGCCCUGAGGAAGACCUGCGGCCAGCCUCCAGAAGACUCAGGCAAAAUUUUUAGUGUGAAAAAGGAGCCUUAAUGGAAAUGAUUUCCAACUGAAUGAAGCCCAGAGUAAAACAGGUCAUUUUAAGAAGCAGAUGACGCCUCACCUUGUGCGCUGGAGUCUUCUGGGGACCAUGUUGGUAAUG
rnacentral:lncRNA from 1 species